UACGUAGGGUGCAAGCGUUAAUCGGAAUUACUGGGCGUAAAGCGUGCGCAGGCGGUUUUGUAAGUCAGAUGUGAAAUCCCCGGGCUUAACCUGGGAACUGCGUUUGAAACUACAAGGCUAGAGUGUGGCAGAGGGGGGUGGAAUUCCACGUGUAGCAGUGAAAUGCGUAGAGAUGUGGAGGAACACCGAUGGCGAAGGCAGCCCCUGGGUUAACACUGACGCUCAGGCACGAAAGCGUGGGGAGCAAACAGG
rnacentral:rRNA from 1 species